GUUAUAUGGUCAAGUGAAGAAGCGCAUACGGUGGAUGCCUUGGCAGUCAGAGGCGAUGAAAGACGUGGUAGCCUGCGAAAAGCUUCGGGGAGUCGGCAAACAGACUUUGAUCCGGAGAUCUCUGAAUGGGGGAACCCACCUAGGAUAACCUAGGUAUCUUGUACUGAAUCCAUAGGUGCAAGAGGCGAACCAGGGGAACUGAAACAUCUAAGUACCCUGAGGAAAAGAAAUCAACCGAGAUUCCCUUAGUAGUGGCGAGCGAACGGGGAUUAGCCCUUAAGCUUCAUUGAUUUUAGCGGAACGCUCUGGAAAGUGCGGCCAUAGUGGGUGAUAGCCCCGUACGCGAAAGGAUCUUUGAAGUGAAAUCGAGUAGGACGGAGCACGAGAAACUUUGUCUGAACAUGGGGGGACCAUCCUCCAAGGCUAAAUACUACUGACUGACCGAUAGUGAACCAGUACCGUGAGGGAAAGGCGAAAAGAACCCCGGAGAGGGGAGUGAAAUAGAACCUGAAACCGUAUGCGUACAAGCAGUGGGAGCCUACUUGUUAGGUGACUGCGUACCUUUUGUAUAAUGGGUCAGCGACUUAUAUUCAGUGGCAAGCUUAACCGUAUAGGGUAGGCGUAGCGAAAGCGAGUCUUAAUAGGGCGUUUAGUCGCUGGGUAUAGACCCGAAACCGGGCGAUCUAUCCAUGAGCAGGUUGAAGGUUAGGUAACACUGACUGGAGGACCGAACCCACUCCCGUUGAAAAGGUAGGGGAUGACUUGUGGAUCGGAGUGAAAGGCUAAUCAAGCUCGGAGAUAGCUGGUUCUCCUCGAAAGCUAUUUAGGUAGCGCCUCAUGUAUCACUCUGGGGGGUAGAGCACUGUUUCGGCUAGGGGGUCAUCCCGACUUACCAAACCGAUGCAAACUCCGAAUACCCAGAAGUGCCGAGCAUGGGAGACACACGGCGGGUGCUAACGUCCGUCGUGAAAAGGGAAACAACCCAGACCGCCAGCUAAGGUCCCAAAGUUGUGGUUAAGUGGUAAACGAUGUGGGAAGGCUUAGACAGCUAGGAGGUUGGCUUAGAAGCAGCCAUCCUUUAAAGAAAGCGUAAUAGCUCACUAGUCGAGUCGGCCUGCGCGGAAGAUGUAACGGGGCUCAAACCACACACCGAAGCUGCGGGUGUCACGUAAGUGACGCGGUAGAGGAGCGUUCUGUAAGCCUGUGAAGGUGAGUUGAGAAGCUUGCUGGAGGUAUCAGAAGUGCGAAUGCUGACAUGAGUAACGACAAUGGGUGUGAAAAACACCCACGCCGAAAGACCAAGGGUUCCUGCGCAACGUUAAUCGACGCAGGGUUAGUCGGUUCCUAAGGCGAGGCUGAAAAGCGUAGUCGAUGGGAAACAGGUUAAUAUUCCUGUACUUCUGGUUACUGCGAUGGAGGGACGGAGAAGGCUAGGCCAGCUUGGCGUUGGUUGUCCAAGUUUAAGGUGGUAGGCUGAAAUCUUAGGUAAAUCCGGGGUUUCAAGGCCGAGAGCUGAUGACGAGUCGUCUUUUAGAUGACGAAGUGGUUGAUGCCAUGCUUCCAAGAAAAGCUUCUAAGCUUCAGGUAACCAGGAACCGUACCCCAAACCGACACAGGUGGUCGGGUAGAGAAUACCAAGGCGCUUGAGAGAACUCGGGUGAAGGAACUAGGCAAAAUGGCACCGUAACUUCGGGAGAAGGUGCGCCGGCUAGGGUGAAGGAUUUACUCCGUAAGCUCUGGCUGGUCGAAGAUACCAGGCCGCUGCGACUGUUUAUUAAAAACACAGCACUCUGCAAACACGAAAGUGGACGUAUAGGGUGUGACGCCUGCCCGGUGCCGGAAGGUUAAUUGAUGGGGUUAGCGCAAGCGAAGCUCUUGAUCGAAGCCCCGGUAAACGGCGGCCGUAACUAUAACGGUCCUAAGGUAGCGAAAUUCCUUGUCGGGUAAGUUCCGACCUGCACGAAUGGCGUAACGAUGGCGGCGCUGUCUCCACCCGAGACUCAGUGAAAUUGAAAUCGCUGUGAAGAUGCAGUGUAUCCGCGGCUAGACGGAAAGACCCCGUGAACCUUUACUGUAGCUUUGCACUGGACUUUGAGCCUGCUUGUGUAGGAUAGGUGGGAGGCUUUGAAGCGUGGACGCCAGUUCGCGUGGAGCCAUCCUUGAAAUACCACCCUGGCAUGCUUGAGGUUCUAACUCUGGUCCGURAUCCGGAUCGAGGACAGUGUAUGGUGGGCAGUUUGACUGGGGCGGUCUCCUCCUAAAGAGUAACGGAGGAGUACGAAGGUGCGCUCAGACCGGUCGGAAAUCGGUCGCAGAGUAUAAAGGCAAAAGCGCGCUUGACUGCGAGACAGACACGUCGAGCAGGUACGAAAGUAGGUCUUAGUGAUCCGGUGGUUCUGUAUGGAAGGGCCAUCGCUCAACGGAUAAAAGGUACUCCGGGGAUAACAGGCUGAUACCGCCCAAGAGUUCAUAUCGACGGCGGUGUUUGGCACCUCGAUGUCGGCUCAUCACAUCCUGGGGCUGAAGCCGGUCCCAAGGGUAUGGCUGUUCGCCAUUUAAAGUGGUACGCGAGCUGGGUUUAGAACGUCGUGAGACAGUUCGGUCCCUAUCUGCCGUGGACGUUUGAGAUUUGAGAGGGGCUGCUCCUAGUACGAGAGGACCGGAGUGGACGAACCUCUGGUGUUCCGGUUGUCACGCCAGUGUCUGGUGUUCCGGUUGUCACGCCAGUGGCAUUGCCGGGUAGCUAUGUUCGGAAAAGAUAACCGCUGAAAGCAUCUAAGCGGGAAACUUGCCUCAAGAUGAGAUCUCACUGGGAACUUGAUUCCCCUGAAGGGCCGUCGAAGACUACGACGUUGAUAGGCUGGGUGUGUAAGCGUUGUGAGGCGUUGAGCUAACCAGUACUAAUUGCCCGUGAGGCUUGACCAUAUAACACCCAAACA
rnacentral:rRNA from 1 species